ACGCUCGACACCUACGGGAGCAGCAGUGGGGAAUAUUGCACAAUGGGGGAAACCCUGAUGCAGCGACGCCGCGUGAAGGAAGAAGUAUCUCGGUAUGUAAACUUCUAUCAGCAGGGAAGAAAAUGACGGUACCUGACUAAGAAGCCCCGGCUAACUACGUGUCAGCAGCCGCGGUAAUCUGAGCGGGCUGGCAAGGC
rnacentral:rRNA from 1 species